rnacentral:rRNA from 1 species
GAUGAACGCUAGCUACAGGCUUAACACAUGCAAGUCGAGGGACCGGCGCACGGGUGAGUAACACGUAUCCAACCUGCCCUUUACUAGGGGAUAGCCUUUCGAAAGAAAGAUUAAUACCCGAUAUAAAGGAUGGGGAUGCGGUCCAUAAGGGUGUUGGUGAGGUAAAGGCCAACCAAGGCUUCGAUGGAUAGGGGUUCUGAGAGGAAGUGCCCCCACAUUGGAACGUGGACCCGUUCCAAACUCCUACGGGAGGCAGAGGUGAGGAAUAUUGGUCAAUGGGCGUUAGCCUGAACCAGCCAAGUAGAGUGAAGGAUGAAGGCUUAUGGGGCGUAAACUUCUUUUAUAUAAGAAUAUGUAUUAUAUGAAUAAGGAUCGGCUAACUCCGUGCCAGCAGCCGCGGUAAUAC